rnacentral:lncRNA from 1 species
UCUCGUCUUUGACAAUCCCAAUCCCCAAAAUCAAAAAAUGGUUUCUUCAAUCUCAGAAAACCUAACCAACGACCAAUACGUUUACCUCGCAAAACUCGCCGAACAAGCCGAACGCUACGAAGAGAUGGUUCAAUUCAUGCAGAAGCUCGUAACCUCUUCCACCUCCGAACUCACCGUUGAAGAACGCAACCUUCUCUCCGUCGCGUACAAGAACGUUAUCGGUUCCCUCCGUGCCGCGUGGCGCAUCGUAUCUUCAAUUGAAAUGAAGGAAGAGGGUCGCAAGAACGAUGAACAUGUUGUGCUUGUUAAGGAUUAUAGAUCUAAGGUGGAGAAUGAGCUUUCUAAUGUUUGUGAUAGUAUUCUUAAGCUUCUUGAUGAUAAUCUUAUUCCUUCUGCGACUUUGAGUGAGUCGCAAGUGUUUUAUUUGAAGAUGAAGGGUGAUUAUCAUCGUUAUUUAGCUGAGUUUAAGAUUGGGCAUGAGAAAAAAUCUGCUGCUGAAGAAACCUUUUUUUCUUAUAAGGCUGCACAGGUUCUCUUUUACUCAUAAUUGCUUUAAAUUUUCAAUUUUUUACUUGUUUAGAUUGGGAUUUAAGUUCUGUUUGUUUAGCCUUGGAAAAAAUUGAUUUUGAAAAUGUGAUUUACUUUUAAUUGAUGUUUAUAGAAGUUAGAUGGAUUUGGUUAAAUUUAAAUAUAUAAAAAAAAUCAAUUUUUACUUGAGAAGACCUGCUUCUCAAAAUAAUCAACAAAUCUAAUUAUUUUGAUAUGCUGCUUAUUCAAAAAAAUGUUACCUGAACAUAAGUCAUGUCUUGUAAAAAAUAUUAAAUUAGUUAAGAAAUUAGACAAAAUUUUAAUGUUCUGAUUUUGGGUUGUUUUUAAUUUUUUUCCCAUAGGAUAUUGCUCAAGUUAAUCUUCCACCCACACAUCCAAUUAGAUUGGGUUUGGCUCUGAACUUCUCUGUGUUCUACUAUGAAAUUCUCAACCAGUCUGAUAAGGCAUGUGGGAUGGCUAAACAGGUAUGCAUGGUUUAUGAAUUUCAAUUGGAGAGAUAAUCUGGCUUGUGUUAUUUGAUUUGAGCUGUAGAAGUUUGUCAAGUUUUGUUCUGCUAUAAUCUGUCCAGAAUUGCAUGAUUUAUUGAUAUAUGAAUUUCAAAUCUGAUUUAUUGUAAUGGCAUGAUUUGUACUUGCGCCGAGAAUGAUUUAUUGGAAUCUUAUAAAAGUAAGAGGCCCUGGUUCUGUUUGAGUUGGGUAUAUGGUCCUGUACCUAAGGAGAAGAUUGUUGAAAACUAGGAAUUUUGUUAAUUUCUCUAGUUUGGUUUGCUUUAGAAUCUGUUUUCUCCAAAUAUUGUGAAGUUUUAAGGAUCCAGUGUAACAUAACUUUUAUUCCACUCUGACCACAAACAGAAAUAAGGUUAACAUGGAUAGUAGUUCUUACUUAUGUGUGUGUACCCAUGAUAGUUGGGCCAAUGAAUUACAAUAACAUAGAAGUUUGACUUUCACAUUCGGGUUGUUUGCAGUUUCACAGGUGAGGCUAAGGUUAUUCUGAGGGAACUUAUAGUUUCUGAAAGUGAUUGUGUUCAGUGUGAAUUAUGGUACUACAUUGAAUGAAUUUGUACUAGUACCGAGUAUUUUUAACAUGAAGCUUGGUAAUUUUUUCACUUCAAUUGGACUAUUGACAAAAGGGGAAGUUGCAUACAGAAGCAAGUUAACAAAAAUACUUUCGCUUUGUUUCAACAGAACUAUUUUUUAGAAAUAAAAUGUUACUAUUUAUUUACAAUGAUGUUAUUAUGCUUUCCCUGUACCAAACUCCCGAAACUUUAACUCAAAAAUUAAAAAUUCCCCCCACAAAAGAAGUAUACUUCAAUUUGUCUAUAAAUUAAAACCAGUCAUAUCUUGCUGCAACCCUCAUAUAAGUCACAUGAUUCCAUGUUUUCUUGUGUUCCAUUCAUGCUUGGCUUCUAUUUUACCGAGUACUGCCGUAGGAGCAUAGUCUUAUUGAUCCUAAAAAUUUACUGAACCUUAGUCUUUCCAAUUUUUAAAGGCUUUUGAGGAAGCAAUUGCUGAGCUGGACACCCUGGGAGAAGAAUCCUACAAAGACAGCACUCUCAUAAUGCAACUUUUGAGAGACAACCUCACUCUUUGGACUUCUGAUGUUCAGGUAAAUAUUACUAUAACCGAACCCCACACCCAUUAUAGAAUAUUCUUCUGUAAAAACAGUUUGAUCAAUCUCUAUUUCCUAAUGCUAAGUUAAGCUAUAUUUGAUUCCCUGCAGGACCAACUAGAUGAGCCUUGAUAUUGAUUUGAGGGGUCAUAUUCUUCCUCUGAAGGAGGUGGGCUUUGAAUGUCAUUUCUUUGUGCUGAUUAAGAAUUGCCCUAGUUUAUAUAAGAUUAUUGACAAUCUGUGAUUAUAAUGUUUUGUGAACAGAAGAAGACCAAACCAAGUUUUUUAUUGUGUUAUGUGAUUUGGAAUGGAUUUUGUAUAAUGUGAGAUCCAAUCAAUUAUAUUUGGUGCAUUAUUAUUCUCACAUGGAAGUAGCAUCAUUCAUAUAUCAAUUGUGAUGAUAGUGCAUGAUGCUGACAUAUAUAUAUAACUUUUUCCAAUAUAAAUAUCUAAUUUGUUUGUUACAUAUCAAACACCAAUUUCUGAAAGUGUCCAAAAAAACACUAGAUUUGUAGGACUGGCUUUUCAAUACAAUUUGGCCCAAUGUUGAAGGUACCAAUAUUUUUUUGUUCUACUAAUUGAAAGAUAUUUCCCUUCUCAAUCUGUCAAAAGAUCUGUGUUGAAGUAGUGAGUAUAUGAUAUACUUACAUGAGUUAAUAAAGAAGCAGUCCUAUACAUGCUGAUGCUGCACUUUACUCCUCUAGUGAUAGCAAUAAUAUACUAAACAAUAACUUUACCGUUCACUGUUGUGCUCGUGCGUGCGGCCGGAAGGUUUCUCAAACAUGCAAAUUUCACACCAUGUUUCAACUUUUGUCAGCAAAUCCAAAUGAGUAAAAUUAUACUCAUUUUAGUUUUGUUGGUUGUUUUUUUGUUGGUACCAGCAUUUGAACAUGGGUCUGAUUGAUAUAAUUUCAAAGCAUCAAAGAGACCCAAAAUGCUAGUAAAUUAUACUCGUUUGAUAAUUUGGAAAUUCUUUUCAUUUCCUUCUUUAUAUUUCUUAUUAAUUUCACUCACCAAUUGGUUAGAAGAAAGAUAUGGGGUAUAAAAAUGGAGUUAGGAUCAUCUCCAUUAAUGGAGAGACAAGUAUACCUAAAACAUGAGUAAAAAGGUAAUAUGACUUAACAUUUUUAUCCUUAAGAUAUAAUGAAAUAACAUUUUUACCCUUACAUGUAAGUAUAAAAGUGAUCACUUACCUCUCCAUUAAUGGAGAGUAUCCUAACUCAUAAAAAUGAAGCCUAAUGAGUAUCUAUAGGGACCUAAACAAAUUAUCUUUUCGUUCUAUAGUAUGAACUUUAAGGAGUAUGAAGUUUCAUUUUUUAUUUGAUAUAAGUAAGUCGAUAAAGAAUCCAUUUAACUUCAUUUGUUCCAUGCCAAAAGCAUACCUACAUCACGAUAACCCUUCUUUGAAAAACUUUAGAGUGCUCUAGUUUUUGGAUAACAAAUGGACCUCCCGACAAUUUUAAUGUAGCUGAUUUCUCCUCGUUUAGUUAGGGUACAUGCUCUCUAGCUAAGGAUGUGUUAGGAAAGUUAAUAAAGGAUAUUAGAAGAACGUAUGUAUCUCAUUGACCAAAUAGUUGCAACGCUCUGUACAAUUUGAAACUACAUUGUAAUGUUACUUUUGGGUUUGAGAAACGUUUUAAAAAUUGGAAAUCGGUAAUUGUGAUUUAUUACAUUUAACGAAAUUGAAGGAAUUUAUUUUGGUAAAAAGCAAUGCGCUGACAUAUUAAUAUUUAUAGUUUUACACAGUACAAAGUGGAGAAAUUGGUGGCCAUCUUAAAUUCUUACUUAAAAUAAAAACAUGUUUACAUAAAAUAUAAGAUUUUCAUGAUAUUUUUGUAAGAGUUUAAUAUUUAAAUAUUCUUUUUGCAAAUAUUGUUACAUAAUUGAUACACCAUUCAUUACUAAUAUAUAUAUUAUUUGUAAUUAAUUUUAUUUAAAAGUCAUUAAGAAUUAAAAUAUAUAUGAAUGACAAGUGAUAUUCUUUUGGUACUGCCAAAUGUAUAAAUCAUUAAUUCAUUUUGAGGUUUGUGGCUAUCCCCUCUUAACAAGUGUUGUUCUCAGAAAAAAAUUAGAAAAUUAAUAAUACUUUUGACAAAAAGAUAUCAUUACUCUAUAUAUAUUUGAAUAGAUACACCAGUAACAAUGUUAAAUGUAACACGUUAAGGAGUCAUCUCCCUUUGCUGGUUAUGUGGAGACAUAACAAUUAGAUAAAUGCAUUUAUGUUUUUUAGUAUUAUAAUUUAAUGCUAAAUUUUAAUUAAGUGAUGAUUUUAAUGUGUUAUUUCUAUAUAAAUAUGUCUUCGUACAAGUUUUUUUCGAUAACAUUAUAGCAUGUAAGUUACGAAAUGACAAAGGGCAUCACUUAUGAAGGUGACACGUGGGACAAGUUACACAACAACAUGUGGUUUAGAAUAGUUGGCUCAUUUCUAAUUUCAACUAAUCCUCAAUUUGUCACUAAUUGUGAUGAAGAUGAGAAGGUCAUAAAAGUCCUAUCUGUCCAACUCAUGGAUGGUCACAAAUACAGCUCAAUCCUACACAUUACAUACCUUUAUUUAUAUUUUCACAUAUUAUUAUAUACUCCAAAAAUAUUAUUCUACACCUCACUCAACUUAUAAAUCUCCCAAAAAACUUAUUAUAAAAGGUUUAAUUAUUCAACUUAAAAAUAAUUCAAAUAAAUCUCUAAACUGUUUAAAAGUUAAAAUAGAUUUAUCUUUCUUUUUUGAAAUUUUUAUAAUUGUAAAUACAAAUACAGAAAUUAUUUAUAAAGUUCCCUCAAAAAUCAUUAUAAAAGGUUAAUUAUUAUAUACCUUCAAAAUACUUCAAAUAAGUCUCUAAAAUUUAAAAAUUCAAAUGAAUUUCAUAUAUUUCAUUUCGAAAAAUUAGAAUACUUUUUUUUUUUGUUUAGAAUACUUAUAUUAUUUCUUGUUUUUAUUACAAUGUUUAAUAAUUUAAAGAGAGAGUUGUGACUAAUGUAUUAAUGAAUACUUAGGAUUAUAUAGUUUUUUUUAAUAUGUUAAAAACAAAAUGAAAGUGAAAAUUACAUAUUACAAAUAUACGACCAAAUUUAAAUAAAUAAACAAAUCUCAAUGUAUAAUUUCUAGUGCUGCCAAUAGUAUUUUUCACAUUUUUACGUAAGGAACUAAUUGAUUCUUCCAACAACUGCUGCUUCUAAGAAUCGAAUCUUCAACAACUGCUGCUUCCAAGAGUCGAAUCUUCAACAACCUUGAGAUGAAGUACAAUGAGAUCUUACAUCAUGAAACCAAUUAGUUCUAUAUGCAUCUUUGAAUUAUAAUCAUAUAUUACCAUUUUUAAUUGAAAAACUAUUUAAAUUUCCUAAUAAACUAUAUUCUCAUACAUUAGUAUAACCGAAUAAAGGGGCGCAUAUAUGCUGUUACACAUUUAGUAUUAUUAUAUGUAAUAUGACUUUAUGAUUUAUCAAAAAAUUUCUUAAAAAUUAAAUUAUAACUUAAAUAUAUUUUUUUAUACAAUCACAUAUGCUGCCAUGUGAUUGUUUGUUUUCAUUCAUUAAAAUAUGAUAAGAUAGAUUUAUUAUGGAGGGCAACGAUUUAAAUUUCCAUUAUAUUUUUUACUUUAUAUAUUUUGAUUUGCACUUAUAAUUUUAUCAUAUAUUUUAUGUAUUUUUAUUAUUUUAUACGCGUAUCCCCUGAACGUAUCGUAUCCUGUAUUUUGGAAAGAAAAAAAUACGUAUCGACGUAUCAGAUACGUAUCAUACCCGACAUAGGUAUCACUAAUAAACCUCACCCACCAUAAAAACACGCAGUCUCUCUUUCAGUCUCUCUUCUCGUCUUUGACAAUCCCAAUCCCCAAAAUCAAAAAAUGGUUUCUUCAAUCUCAGAAAACCUAACCAACGACCAAUACGUUUACCUCGCAAAACUCGCCGAACAAGCCGAACGCUACGAAGAGAUGGUUCAAUUCAUGCAGAAGCUCGUAACCUCUUCCACCUCCGAACUCACCGUUGAAGAACGCAACCUUCUCUCCGUCGCGUACAAGAACGUUAUCGGUUCCCUCCGUGCCGCGUGGCGCAUCGUAUCUUCAAUUGAAAUGAAGGAAGAGGGUCGCAAGAACGAU